AACGAACGCUGGCGGCAGGCCUAACACAUGCAAGUCGAACGCCGUAGCAAUACGGAGUGGCAGACGGGUGAGUAACACGUGGGAACGUACCCUUCGGUUCGGAAUAACUCAGGGAAACUUGAGCUAAUACCGGAUACGUCCGAGAGGAGAAAGAUUUAUCGCCGAGGGAUCGGCCCGCGUCUGAUUAGCUUGUUGGUGAGGUAACGGCUCACCAAGGCGACGAUCAGUAGCUGGCUGAGAGGAUGAUCAGCCACAUUGGGACUGAGACACGGCCCAAAACUCCUACGGGAGGCAGCAGGUGGGGAAUAUUUGGACAAUGGGGCGCAAGCCUGAUCCGGCCAUGCCGCGUGAGUGAUGAAGGCCC
rnacentral:rRNA from 1 species